rnacentral:tRNA from 1 species
GGAUUGUGGCUCAGUGGCAGAGCGCUUGCCUCACAUGUAUGAGGCUCUGGGUUUGAUCCUCAGCACCA